rnacentral:ncRNA from 1 species
UUGAAUGAUAUAAAAACUCCUCGUUUAUACCCAGCAUAUAGUAUUGUACAAAUGUUUCAUGGCACAACAGUCCGAAGCGAUUCUGACGUGCAAAUUGAUCGUUGACUUUGAUAUAGGGGCGAAAGACUAAUCGAACUAUCUAGUAGUUGGUUCCCUCUGAAGUUUCCCUCAGGAUAGCUGAAGUACGUAAUGAAGCUGUUAUAUUCGGUAAAGCGAAUGAUCAGAGGAAUUGUGGUACGAAACGUCUUCAACCUAUUCUCAAACUUUCGAUGAGUCUGACGUCUUGCUUGCUUGAAUGAAGCGUAGACAUUGAAUGUGUGCUCCAAUUGGGCCAUUUUUGGUAUACGAAAAUGGCGCUGUGAGAUGAACCAAAUAUUGAAUAAAACAUAAUAUAUUGCAUAUGGUAGUCAUCUUGCAUCUUUGACAAUAAUCAUGCAUGAAUUCUUUGAGAAAGAU